rnacentral:rRNA from 1 species
AGAGUUUGAUCCUGGCUCAGGAUGAACGCUGGCGGCGUGCCUAAUACAUGCAAGUCGAACGAGGUGCUUUUGUAGCAAUACGAGAGUAUCCUAGUGGCGAACGGGUGAGUAACGCGUUGGUGACCUACCCCAAAGUGUGGGAUAACAGUCCGAAAGGAUUGCUAAUACCGCAUGUGGUUAUUGGAUUUAGAAACUGAUAACUAAAGGAGCAAUUCGCUUUGGGAGGGACCUGCGUCCCAUCAGCUAGUUGGUGAGGUAAUGGCUCACCAAGGCUACGACGGGUAGGGGACCUGAGAGGGUGACCCCCCACAAUGGAACUGAAACACGGUCCAUACACCUACGGGUGGCAGCAGUAGGGAAUAUUGCACAAUGGGCGAAAGCCUGAUGCAGCAACGCCGCGUGCACGAUGAAGGCCUUCGGGUCGUAAAGUGCUUUUCUGGGAGAUGAGAAAGGACAGUAUCCCAGGAAUAAGUCUCGGCUAACUACGUGCCAGCAGCCGCGGUAAU